AUUGAACGCUGGCGGCAGGCUUAACACAUGCAAGUCGAGCGGAGAUGAGGUGCUUGCACCUUAUCUUAGCGGCGGACGGGUGAGUAAUGCUUAGGAAUCUGCCUAUUAGUGGGGGACAACAUUCCGAAAGGAAUGCUAAUACCGCAUACGCCCUACGGGGGAAAGCAGGGGAUCUUCGGACCUUGCGCUAAUAGAUGAGCCUAAGUCGGAUUAGCUAGUUGGUGGGGUAAAGGCCUACCAAGGCGACGAUCUGUAGCGGGUCUGAGAGGAUGGUCCGCCACACUGGGACUGAGACACGGCCCAGACUCCUACGGGAGGCAGCAGUGGGGAAUAUUGGACAAUGGGCGGAAGCCUGAUCCAGCCAUGCCGCGUGUGUGAAGAAGGCCUUUUGGUUGUAAAGCACUUUAAGCGAGGAGGGGCUACCUGGAUUAAUACUCUAGGAUAGUGGACGUUACUCGCAGAAUAAGCACCGGCUAACUCUGUGCCAGCAGCCGCAGUAACAC
rnacentral:rRNA from 1 species